rnacentral:misc_RNA from 1 species
GUGAAGAACGUAGCGAAAUGCGAUACUUGGUGUGAAUUGCAGAAUCCCGUGAACCAUCGAGUCUUUGAACGCAAGUUGCGCCCGAAGCCAUUAGGCCGAGGGCACGCCUGCCUGGGCGUCACACGUCGUUGCCCCCCCAUCUACUCCUUCGGGAUUGCGGGGGGCGGAUGAUGGCCUCUCGUGCGCCUCGUCGCGCGGUUGGCCUAAAUGCCAAGUCCUCGGCGACGCACGCCACGACAAUCGGUGGUUGCGAAACCUCGGUUGCCUGUCGUGUGUGGUCGUCGCGCAUCGAGGGCUCGAAAAAAUUGCCGGGCUUCGGCUCGACUUUCAACGCGACCCCAGGUCAGGCGGGGUUACCCGCUGAAUUUAAGCAUAUCAAUAAGCGGAGGA